rnacentral:rRNA from 1 species
AUUGAACGCUGGCGGCAUGCUUUACACAUGCAAGUCGAACGGUAACAGGCCGCAAGGUGCUGACGAGUGGCGAACGGGUGAGUAAUGCAUCGGAACGUGCCCAGUCGUGGGGGAUAACUACUCGAAAGAGUAGCUAAUACCGCAUACGAUCUAUGGAUGAAAGCGGGGGACCGUAAGGCCUCGCGCAAUUGGAGCGGCCGAUGUCAGAUUAGGUAGUUGGUGGGGUAAAGGCUCACCAAGCCAACGAUCUGUAGCUGGUCUGAGAGGACGACCAGCCACACUGGGACUGAGACACGGCCCAGACUCCUACGGGAGGCAGCAGUGGGGAAUUUUAGACAAUGGGCGCAAGCCUGAUCCAGCAAUGCCGCGUGCAGGAAGAAGGCCUUCGGGUUGUAAACUGCUUUUGUACGGAACGAAACGGCUCUGGUUAAUACCCGGGGCUAAUGACGGUACCGGAAGAAUAAGCACCGGCUAACUACGUG